ACAUGGCUAUGAUUGGUUAUAUGAGUUUGUGAAAUUACAAACCUAAUUUCUGGGUGGUGUCAAAGAUGGGAUUACCUGAAACGGAUUCCCACGUUGCUUUGUGAUUUGGUGAUUAUGGUUCUUGACUUCUCUAAGAGAGGAAUAAAAGUGCCACACUCACUAAUGACCAAAUUGGUCAGUUCCACUCAUAUGCCCCCUAUAGCCUCUUUACCAUCUAGCCUUUCCAGAGUUAACCUAUUGUAAAAUUAGAUUGUAAAAAUGGACAGAGUGGCCACCACUCUGGGAUAAGGGUGAAGGACUCAUGGUGUCAUCCCCACUAAAUACUCCAGUGGAAAUUAUCACUUAAUUAUUUGUGAUAUCACCCAGCUCCCCAAAGAGCUGGCCUUCCUUUUCAGCCCCAGUUAUCUUUUGGAAGUGUAACUCUUUCAGUUUGAUUGUCCUGGGAACACAUGCAGUUUUCUCUUGAUGGGGAAACCCCUCUCUGAAGGUCUGCGUUUUAAGUGGCAGAGAUGCAAAAACAGCCUUCUAGACAGAGUUUCUAAUUGAAUUCUCCUCUAUACCGUUAUCCAUAAACUGAGUAAUGCAUCCAAGGAAGAAGAGAGGAUGAGAGAGGUCAGGAAGUUUAGAUUCCAGUAAAAUUUAAAUAGCCACUGAAUUUGCCAUAGCAAAACAUGAGCUAUGAUUCUGUUAGUACACAGGAAAAGUCAAUUAGGUGAACUGAUUUUUUAUGGUGUUGGGAAUAUUAUAAUUCAGGGAUUCUUAACCUAUAGCUUAACCUAUAGGCAAUUUAAGACUAGAUUUCAGGGGUAGGGCAGUGAAACUUCUAAAAUUGCUGUAACAUUUUUUAUUAAGUCAUAGGCAGUUUCCUAGGGAGAGGCUUUUAUCAAAUUCUCAGAAGGGUCCACUGCCAUAAAAGAUUAAGGAACCACUGCAUUCUAUCAUCAUAAUUUUUUGUCUUCUUUCAAAAGUUGAUAUUCUGGUUUUUUUUAUGCAGAAAAGACAAAAGCAUGUACAACUCUGAUAUUUCAUGAUCUUUAAUUUCUUCCCCCUCCUGGAUGUCCUAUAAUAAAUGUACAGGAAAGAAAUAUAAAACGCUAUCCAAACUCAGUUAAUAGCUCUGAGAAAUGCACACUCAGAGUGCUUUAAAAUCAGGUUACAAAUAUCAUUUUCAAUUUGCUGGGGAGAAAAUAGGAAGAGUCCCUUGGAAUACAGAAUAAAUUCAUUCUAUGUACAUUAUCAGUGUUGGUUCAUUAUAUUCUCAUUGGCCCACAACUCAACACAUCUUUAAGAAGCAAAAGUGCAUACACUCUCCCUUACUGACAAUAUUUAGGGGAAGACCACAUACUUUGUGAACUACUGUGAGUUGAGUUCUUGUAGUCAAAGCAGUAGUAGGUGGAGCUUCAUUCUCUGGUAUUAAAAUCCUAAAAGUGAGUAGUGUUAUUAAUUGGGGGCACUUUUGAGAUUUGAUUAAGAAAUUUACUGCUCUUGUGGGUUGUUUCCUCCCUUGUGGGAUGUUCUGGAUGAAUGUCAAGGUCUAGCCCCGGCAGAUUCCAGAAAGCUUGUCCAUCUAAAUUUGCUGUUAAGCCAUGGGAACUUUUCUAUUGCAGUCUUUGGGUCAUGGUAACGUGUAAAGCCUAGAGUUUGUUGAAGGGCACUUUUCUCUCUCUAAAAUUCUCCAUUCCUCACAACUGGUUUUUAUUAUUCCGUGACAUGCUGGGAGUGUUGCUAUGACUGUUUGAGAAGUAUGGGCAGAUAUAUUGCUGGCUGGCUUCUUACAGGAAGAGUUUCCCAUGAUGGGAGUGAGAGACCCCUGGGGCCACCUGGAAACUGCCCACUCUUGUAAGAUGUUGCUCAGCGUUCUUGGGACCCAGGAAUUCACUGCUCCAAAGGCCCUGAGUUCACUUUCAAGGCUUGGUUCUGCAGGGUGUACUCAUGUGUGCACCCUGAGUCUUGAGGAGUAGACAAAGGGCUUUUGUGGAGGAUGAGGAGGGAGAUUGGAUGUGAGCACUGCUGUGUUCAUACGUGUGCUGUGUUCUGAUCCUUGAGAUUUGGAUCAGAGCCAGAGGUGGAAAGAGAAGAGGAUGGGGUGUAGUUGGGGCUGGCCUCCCUAUGCCACUGACUACUUGAGAGGAACAUUGAAGAACUGAAAAUUCUACAAUCGAAGUUGGCUUUCCAGGUUGUUAUAAAGAAGUAUUUGUCAAGACAGGAGGUAUAACAUAUUUCAUUUAAAAGUUUGCUAGCUUGUUUUAUAGCUUUUAAAUAUUUAGACACUUCUUAUAAAAAAGUGAAAACAUAUUUAUGCAAUUCCCAUUAAGAGUUACUGUGGAUAGGAACAGACAAGGACAACAAGGCACAGGGAGACUAAGGGACUUGCUUGGUCACACAGCUGGUUUUUACUUGAAUUGGGGCUGGAAACAAGACUUUCUGACUUGGAGCCCAGUUCUGUAUGGAAUCACAUUAGUUUUCAAAGCCAAGCCUGGUGCUUAUUUUCUGGGAUUGUAUGACUGACAUCACAAUAAGAGCUUGUCUUUGUGUCAUUACUCUUUGGUAUCACAACCUUAGUUCAAGGCCUGUCUUAUUGCAGUUGCCUUCUAACUUGACUUUCUGCUUAAAAUAGUCUCCUCCUCUAAUCCAUUCCUCCACACUGCAGCUAGGGAGAUCUUUAAAGUGCCUCUUCUGUUAUGCCUUUCUCCAGUGAAGAAGCUUGAGCUGGCUUCACGGAGCCAGGAUUGCUGAAUGUUGCCCCAAGGCCUUCC
rnacentral:lncRNA from 1 species